AAAUUGAAGAGUUUGAUCAUGGCUCAGAUUGAACGCUGGCGGCAGGCCUAACACAUGCAAGUCGAACGGUAACAGGAARCAGCUUGCUGYUUYGCUGACGAGUGGCGGACGGGUGAGUAAUGUCUGGGAAACUGCCUGAUGGAGGGGGAUAACUACUGGAAACGGUAGCUAAUACCGCAUAACGUCGCAAGACCAAAGAGGGGGACCUUCGGGCCUCUUGCCAUCGGAUGUGCCCAGAUGGGAUUAGCUWGUWGGUGGGGUAACGGCUCACCWAGGCGACGAUCCCUAGCUGGUCUGAGAGGAUGACCAGCCACACUGGAACUGAGACACGGUCCAGACUCCUACGGGAGGCAGCAGUGGGGAAUAUUGCACAAUGGGCGCAAGCCUGAUGCAGCCAUGC
rnacentral:rRNA from 1 species